UGGGGAAUAUUGCACAAUGGGGGAAACCCUGAUGCAGCGACGCCGCGUGAGCGAAGAAGGUUUUCGAAUCGUAAAGCUCUGUCCUAUGAGAAGAUAAUGACGGUACCAUAGGAGGAAGCCCCGGCUAACUACGUGCCAGCAGCCGCGGUAAUACGUAGGGGGCAAGCGUUGUCCGGAAUCACUGGGCGUAAAGGGUUCGCAGGCGGAAAUGCAAGUCAGUUGUGAAAGGCAGAGGCUCAACCUCUGUAAGCAAUUGAAACUGUAUUUCUUGAGAUGUGGAGAGGCAAGUGGAAUUCCUAGUGUAGCGGUGAAAUGCGUAGAUAUUAGGAAGAAUACCGGUGGCGAAGGCGACUUGCUGGACACAAACUGACGCUGAGGAACGAGAGCGUGGGUAGCAAACAGG
rnacentral:rRNA from 1 species